GUGAAUGUAUGAAAUGAAAGGUAACGAACACACGCGGCGCUUGGUGGCAAAACUAUAGGUUGAUAUUAAUUAAUUUAUGGCCUGAUUUAUGGCUAAUCGCGACUCCCUUGAUGGAGAAUUAAGGAUUAUGAGCACGAACGAGUCCCUUGGUGGAUCGAUGCAUACUGAAGCAAUUUUAAAGUAAUUAUUAAAACGCGCGUGUCGCGUAAAAAUGCUGACUUGA